ACAAUGGUGCAGGGAGGCGGAACCCAGUGACACGGAAGUCGGAGCCCCCAUUCCGUAAAGGCGCACCGACACGGAAUUCAGGUAAGCUGGCAACUUCGCCUUUCAGGUGCAGGGAGUCAUCAGCGCAGCCAGGC
rnacentral:snRNA from 1 species